rnacentral:ncRNA from 1 species
CGUAUGGUGUUCGGCUUAGGAUCGAAUAGCGAUACGGCCUGAAAAAGAGGU